GACAGAGGAUGCAAGCGUUGUUCGGAGUUACUGGGCGUAAAGGGUGCGUAGGCGGCCUUAUAAGUAUGGUGUGAAAUCUCCCGGCUUAACUGGGAGGGUGCGCUAUAGACUGUGGGGCUAGAGUGUGGGAGAGGAAAGUGGAAUUCCUGGUGUAGCGGUGAAAUGCGUAGAUAUCAGGAGGAACACCGGUGGUGUAAACGGCUUUCUGGACCAUAACUGACGCUGAGGCACGAAAGCGUGGGUAGCAAACAGG
rnacentral:rRNA from 1 species